UACGGAGGGGGCAAACGUUGCUCGGAAUCAUUGGGCGUAAAGCGCGUGUAGGCGGUCCGGUAAGUCCGCUGUGAAAGUCGGGGGCUCAACCCUCGGAUGCCGGUGGAUACUGUCGGGCUUGAGUACGGAAGAGGCGAGUGGAAUUCCUGGUGUAGCGGUGAAAUGCGCAGAUAUCAGGAGGAACACCAAUUGCGAAGGCAGCUCGCUGGGACGUUACUGACGCUGAGACGCGAAAGCGUGGGGAGCAAACAGG
rnacentral:rRNA from 1 species